AUACGGAGGAUCCGAGCGUUAUCCGGAUUUAUUGGGUUUAAAGGGUGCGCAGGCGGCCAUUUAAGUCAGCGGUUAAAUCGUGGGGCUCAACCCCAUUCUGCCGUUGAUACUGGGUGGCUUGAUUGCGGUCGAGGUUGGCGGAAUUCGUUGUGUAGCGGUGAAAUGCAUAGAUAUGACGAAGAACACCGAUUGCGUAGGCAGCUGACCAGACCGCAAAUGACGCUCAUGCACGAAAGUGCGGGGAUCGAACAGGAUUAGAUACCUUGGUAGUCCGCACAGUAAACGAUGAAUACUUGUUUUCGGCGAUAUAAUGUCGGAGGCAAAGCGAAAGCGAUAAGUAUUCCACCUGGGGAGUACGCCGGCAACGGUGAAACUCAAAGGAAUUGACGGGG
rnacentral:rRNA from 1 species